GAAAGAAGAAUUAACACUACUCUUUCUCAAAUUCUUCCAAAAAGUGGUGGAAAAGAAGGAAACGCUUCUUAAUUCAUUCCAUGAGGCCAGCAUUAUUCUGAUACCCAACCAAACCAAACACUAUAAGAAAACUAUGGACAAAUAUUCCUGAUGAAUAUUGAUACAAAAAUCCUCAACAAAAUAUGAGGCAACAGAACUCAAAUCAUAUUGUAAGGAUUUUAUCCUAGGACCAAGUGAGGUUUAUUUCUGGAGUGUAAAGACGACAGCUGCCAUAGGACCCCAUUGGUCCCCAACCACUCCAGGGACCUAGUGGGCUGACACCAGCUCCAGGACACCCUGGACCUCACAGUCAGCCAUGUCAGGAAUUGGCCCUGCACACCAGUAGGCUAACACUAGGCUUCAGGACCCUGGGCCUUGUAGCCAGCUACCCUAGGAACUGGUUCUCUACAUACCAGUGAGCCAGAACUAGCCCCAGGAUUCCCAGUGCUCCACAGCCAGCACCUAAUGACACAGCCCUGCCCACCAGUGGGCUGGUAUCAGAACCAGGACUUCCCAGGCUGUGCCAGGACCUGGCCUCACUCAUCAGAAGCUGGCAGUCUCUGUAUUAGGCAGGCAGUUGCAACAAGACGAGGGGCCAGUCACACCUUCCAGCAUGCCCACAGUAGUCAGUCCACCACAACAAAAGGGGCUAUGCAGCCCACGUAGAGGGUACUCUUAGUUCUGAUGACCAAAGGGGAGUGCACUGCUGGGCCCCAUAAGAUAUUUCCUACAUAAGGCAACUUCUCUAAGAUUGGGAAGUUUAAACAACCUGUCAAAUACAUAGAAAUAAAAACAGAGAAUUAGGCAAAAUGAGGCAACAGAGGGAUAUGUACCAAAUGAAGGAACAAAAUAAAACCCCAGAACUAAGUGAAGGGGAGGUAAGCAAUUUACUCAUAAAGAUGCUCAAAGAACUCAAGACAAGAAUGGAUGAACCCAGUGAGGAGUUUAACAAAAGGAAAAUAGAAAAAAGAACCAAACAGAGCUAAAGCAUAGAGUAACAAAUAAAAUAUACACUAAAAGGAAUAAACAGGAGAUUAUGGAUCAGGAAACAAAAGGACCAGCAAACUGGAAGAUAGAUAGUGAAAAUCACUCAAACCGAAAAGAAAAAAGAAAAAAAGAAUUAAAAAAAAAAAAAGAUAAGAACAGUUUAAGAGACCUUCGGGAUAACAUCAAGCAUACUAACUUUCACACUAUAAGGGGUCCAGAAGGAGAAGAAAAUGGCAGAGAAUAUACUUGAAGACAUAACAGCUGAAAACUUCCCUAACCUGGGAAAAGAAAGCAGACACCCAGGUCCAGGAAGCACAGAGAGUCCCAAACAGGAUAAACCCAAAGAGGACCACAAUGAGACACACCAUAAAUAAAAUGACAAAAAUUAAAGAUAAAGAGAGAAUCUUAAAGCAGCAAGGGAAAAGCAACUAGUUAUGGACAAGGGAACUCCCACAAGUCUAUGAGCUGACUAUUCAGCAGAAACUCUGCAGGCCAUAAGGGAGUGGCACAAUAUAUUUCAAGUGAUGAAGGGGAAAAACCUACAACCAAAAAUACUCAACAAGGUUAUCAUUCAGAUCUGAUGAAGAGAUUGAGUAUUACUGACAAGCAAAAACUAAAAAGAGAGUUCAGUA
rnacentral:lncRNA from 1 species